AAAAAGAUUGUGAUUAGAAGAGUAGGCAAUUACCUAUCGUUAAGAGAGUUUCCGGUGCUGGAAAGGGAAUCGAAGUAAUUGUUGAAACACACCUAUGAAUCAAUGAAUUGAAAGUCUGUUGUUAGAUUAGUAAGUUUACUCGGAUAAGCUCGUUAACGCUGCUGAAUUAUUAAUUCAGCAUGAGGUUGAUACUGUGAAGUAUUAACGAAUUGAGGUGGAACCGCGAUAAUCGUCCUCUUA
rnacentral:ncRNA from 1 species